rnacentral:rRNA from 1 species
CCUACGGGGGGCAGCAGUGGGGAAUAUUGGACAAUGGGGGGAACCCUGAUCCAGCCAUGCCGCGUGUGUGAAGAAGGCCCUCGGGUUGUAAAGCACUUUCAGUGAGGAAGAACGCCUGGUGGUUAAUACCCAUCAGGAAAGACAUCACUCACAGAAGAAGCACCGGCUAACUCCGUGCCAGCAGCCGCGGUAAUACGGAGGGUGCGAGCGUUAAUCGGAAUUACUGGGCGUAAAGCGCGCGUAGGUGGCUUGAUAAGCCGGUUGUGAAAGCCCCGGGCUCAACCUGGGAACGGCAUCCGGAACUGUCAAGCUAGAGUGCAGGAGAGGAAGGUAGAAUUCCCGGUGUAGCGGUGAAAUGCGUAGAGAUCGGGAGGAAUACCAGUGGCGAAGGCGGCCUUCUGGACUGACACUGACACUGAGGUGCGAAAGCGUGGGUAGCAAACAGGAUUAGAUACCCUAGUAGCC